rnacentral:rRNA from 1 species
UACGUAGGGGGCUAGCGUUGUCCGGAAUCAUUGGGCGUAAAGGGUGCGUAGGCGGCGCGGUAAGUCGGAUGUGAAAUCUCGGAGCUUAACUUCGAAACUGCAUUCGAUACUGCCGUGCUUGAGGACUGGAGAGGAGACUGGAAUUUACGGUGUAGCGGUGAAAUGCGUAGAUAUCGUAAGGAAGACCAGUGGCGAAGGCGGGUCUCUGGACAGUUCCUGACGCUGAGGAGCGAAAGCGUGGGGAGCGAACAGG